rnacentral:rRNA from 1 species
AUGUAUGGUUAUUUGUUUAGCACUAAAAGCAUAGUUGGUUGUUAUCUUGUCCAAAUUGAUUUUCGGUGCCAUAUGAAUGCUGUCAGUUGGUUAUUACAUGAGACAAUUGCUUAUUUACCAUUGACAAGCUCGGUCAUUGCUCAUUUGCCAUCGAACAAACUAGCGUUGCUCUUGUACCGCUUACAAGCUUGUUUCGUUGCUAAUUUGCCAUCAGCCGUUUACUUGGUGUUAGCCACUUCUGUUAAAGUAAGCAAAAUGACGAUUUUACCCUCAAUGGCAAAUGAGCAACCUUACCUAUUGUUCCUUUUAACCAUGUUGAAGCACUUCUGUUCAAAUUAUCAUAACAUAUUGUGA